CAAUAGCGUAUAUUAAAGUUGUUGCAGUUAAAAAGCUCGUAGUUGGAUUUCUGUGAGAGUGCCGGUGUCGGCUGAUGCUUGUACGCAGGCGCUCUUACAUCCUUCUGUUAACUGUUCUUGGCAUUUUAUUGCUGGUUCAGGGCUCAGAUAUUUUACCUUGAGAAAAUUAGAGUGUUUCAGGCAGGCUUAUGCCGGAAUACAUUAGCAUGGAAUAAUGGAACAGGACCUGUGCGUCUCUCGGGGCGCCGGUCUCCGUUGUUGGUUUCGGGGACUAAUGUAAUGAUUAUUAGGGAUAGUUGGGGGCAUUAGUAUUUAAUAGUCAGAGGUGAAAUUCUCGGAUUUGUUAAAGACUAACUUAUGCGAAAGCAUUUGCCAAGGAUGUUUUCAUUAA
rnacentral:rRNA from 1 species